rnacentral:lncRNA from 1 species
GGAAAUACAACCUUUGGAGGCAAAGAAGUGAAGAAGAGAGGUUAGUGGUGGUUCGACAAUGAUGAAGGUGAAUGAUGGUGGUGGCGCCCGAUUUUGAUGGUGUUUGGAGUAAUAUGAGUUAGAGUUUUAGUGAGAUUGUGGAGGAUGAUGAGUGAAGGUUAGAGGUUUUGAUGGUGAAGAUGAAAUAUGUUGCAUGAGGGAGUAAGGUUAAAAUGAUGAAGGGUGUAAAGUUG